rnacentral:lncRNA from 1 species
CUCUAGACAUACAUAGCUCAAGAUGGCUAUAUCUUGUCAUGUUGAGAAAAUGGAAGCAGACUAAAAUAUGUACAAGUGAACAGCAUUUAUCAAAAAUAUUUUUUGAUAUCACACAAGAGCAGAUAUGUACAUCUGACAUAUCAGAACAGCUGCAUGUGGAGUAAGAGAACAACUGACCAAUGCAAAGAAAAGAAGCAUCAUGACGAAGAGGCAUUGGAAACGCUGACAGUAUCCCCCAUCUGGGUUCCGCACCCAUGGGGCAGACACAUGCUCAUCACCAGCAAGAUCAGCUUCUUCAUUUUGACAACAUUGCACUAGCUGCUCCGGAACCCACACUGGCUCUGCGAUUCUGUGGAAACAUGCAAACAGACCCUCUCGCCCAGACCAACACGGGAUCUGGACCAUUCCAUGAUCCUGUAAGCACAUCCUUCCAUUUAGCAUACCCCAGAUUACUGGGGCUGUUAUUAGCAUGUCGUUCAGCAGCAGAGCG